GGACCUUGGCUUAGUCUUAGUCCCCUGAGCCUUGGGAGCACCAUAUAAGGCCCAACAAAAUUGUGAUUGCAUUGGAGCAAGUAGGCACCGUGUCCCACCAACUUUUUAUCAUAUUCUUGAAAUCUGCAUGGGUGAGCUAGAAAUUUUCAAAUCAAAAUGAUUUAGUAUGUAGAUAUUUACCUUAAUAUGGAGGGCAACAAUGCAAAAGGAGAG
rnacentral:lncRNA from 1 species